CUGGCUCAGAACGAACGCUGGCGGCGCGUCUUAAGCAUGCAAGUCGAACGGCAAGGAUGGUAGCUUGCUACCAUCCCUAGAGUGGCGGACUGGUGAGUAACACGUGGGUGACCUACCCUUGAGAUGGGGAUAGCCAUUAGAAAUAGUGGAUAAUACCGAAUACGCUCUACGGACUCUGGUUUGUAGAGGAAACAGGCUACGGCCUGGCUCGAGGAUGGGCCCGCGUCCCAUUAGCUAGUUGGUGAGGUAAGAGCCCACCAAGGCGACGAUGGGUAUCCGGCCUGAGAGGGUGUACGGACACAUUGGGACUGAGAUACGGUCCAGACUCCUACGGGAGGCAGCAGCUAAGAAUCUUCCGCAAUGGGCGAAAGCCUGACGGAGCGAACCGCCGCGUGAACGAAGAAGGCCGUGAGGUUGUAAAGUUCUUUUCGGGAGGGGGAACGAGGCUGCCAGGCAAUGGGCGGCCGAUGACGUGAAUCCCGGAAUAAGCCCCGGCUAACUACGUGCCAGCCGCGGC
rnacentral:rRNA from 1 species